rnacentral:rRNA from 1 species
GAUGAACGCUGGCGGCGUGCCUAAUACAUGCAAGUCGAGCGAACAGACGAGGAGCUUGCUCCUCUGACGUUAGCGGCGGACGGGUGAGUAACACGUGGAUAACCUACCUAUAAGACUGGGAUAACUUCGGGAAACCGGAGCUAAUACCGGAUAAUAUAUUGAACCGCAUGGUUCAAUAGUGAAAGACGGUUUUGCUGUCACUUAUAGAUGGCUCCGCGCCGCAUUAGCUAGUUGGUAAGGUAACGGCUUACCAAGGCAACGAUGCGUAGCCGACCUGAGAGGGUGAUCGGCCACACUGGAACUGAGACACGGUCCAGACUCCUACGGGAGGCAACAGUAGGGAAUCUUCCGCAAUGGGCGAAAGCUUGACGGAGCAACGCCGCGUGAGUGAUGAAGGUCUUCGGAUCGUAAAACUCUGUUAGUAGGGAAGAACAAAUGUGUAAGUAACUAUGCACGUCUUGACGGUACCUAAUCAGAAAGCCACGGCUAACUACGUG